GUUGAGUUGAGUUGAGUUUAGUUGUAAUAACAAAUGUACAAGUUUAAGUCUUGAGAGUUGCUGCUUUAUGCAAAAAAUGUGGUGGGGUAAGAUUCUCUCCAAAAUUUUCCUUCCCAAGAUCUUACUUCUAUGGAACCUUUACCAUUUAAUGUUCUUUUAAAUAUGGAAAUCAAGAGAUUAACAUGACCAUAUGCAAUAUUUAGGAGCACUCAUCCUGA
rnacentral:misc_RNA from 1 species